GGUGGCCUGAGCGGUUAGAGCGUCCGCCUCGAAUGCGGGUGGUCGCGGGUUCGAACUUCGGCGUAGUCA